rnacentral:rRNA from 1 species
CCUACGGGAGGCAGCAGUGGGGAAUAUUGCACAAUGGGGGAAACCCUGAUGCCGCGACGCCGCGUGAGUGAAGAAGUAUUUCGGUACGUAAAGCUCUAUCAGCAGGGAAGAAAAAAAGUCCUUUGGACUUUGGACGGUACCUGACCAAGAAGCCCCGGCUACCUACGUGCCAGCAGCCGCGGUAAUACGUAGGGGGCAAGCGUUAUCCGGCGUUACGGGGUGUAAAGGGAGCGUAGACGGCAGGGCAAGUCUGGAGUGAAAUGCCGGGGCCCAACCCCGAAACUGCUUUGGAAACUGGGCAGCUGGAGUGCAGGAGAGGUAAGCGGAAUUCCUAGUGUAGCGGUGAAAUGCGUAGAUAUUAGGAAGAACACCAGUGGCGAAGGCAGCUUACUGGACUGUAACUGACGUUGAGGCUCGAAAGCGUGGGUAGCAAACAGGAUUAGAUACCCCUGUAGUC